CUAUGACGUUAGCGGCGGACGGGUGAGUAACACGUGGGCAACCUGCCUGUAAGACUGGGAUAACUUCGGGAAACCGAAGCUAAUACCGGAUAGGAUCUUCUCCUUCAUGGGAGAUGAUUGAAAGAUGGCUUCGGCUAUCACUUACAGAUGGACCCGCGGCGCAUUAGCUAGUUGGUGAGGUAACGGCUCACCAAGGCAACGAUGCAUAGCCGACCUGAGAGGGUGAUCGGCCACACUGGGACUGAGACACGGCCCAGACUCCUACGGGAGGCAGCAGUAGGGAAUCUUCCGCAAUGGACGAAAGUCUGACGGAGCAACGCCGCGUGAGUGAUGAAGGCUUUCGGGUCGUAAAACUCUGUUGUUAGGGAAGAACAAGUGCUAGAGUAACUGCUUGGACCUUGGCGGGACCUAACCCGAAAGCCACGGGUAACUACGUGGCAGCAGCCGCGGUAAUACCUAAGUGGCAAGCGUUAUUCGGAAUUAUUGGGCGUAAAGCGCGCGCAAGCGGUUUCCUAAGUCUGAUGUGAAAGCCCACGGCUCAAACGUGGAAGGGCAUUGGAAACUGGGGAAAUUGAGUGCAGAAGAAGAAAGCGGAAUUUCCAGUGUAACGGUGAAAUGGCUAGAGAUGUGGAAGAACACCAGUUGCCAAAGCGGGUUUUUGGUCUGUUACUGACGCUGAAGCGCGAAAGCGCGGGAGAGCAAACCCGAUUACAUAACCUGGUAGUCCACACCCUUAAACGAUUAAUGCCC
rnacentral:rRNA from 1 species